rnacentral:lncRNA from 1 species
GGAGAUCGUGUGUAGGGCGGCAACAGGGAGAACAAAAUGAAAGGACCAACAUGGCAAAUCGCAUGAGGCCCAAUGGGAGGGGCGAGCCACUUCUUAUCUCCCCACCUCUUCAUAUCAUAAUCGGUCGAUCGAGGAACACCCCAUGUGCUUCUCUUCCCUCGGUUGGUCUUUUGGGCAGUUCCGGCGCUCUUCCUCUCCCAGUAGCUCCACCCCCAAGUUGAGCCCAUAAGUCUUGUCGACCGGCAACUUUCUGACACAACCUGCUGCAGGUCCAUAAUCUCUCAUCAGAUUUCUACACACCUAGGUUCGGUCAUCGAUCAUAUUCAUAUCCUCGCAAAUUAUUAUUAUUGUUCCUUUUUUGUUCUUGUCGUGCUAGGACUAAAAUUGAUGUAUAACUAAUCAUCGGUUUUGCCCGGUUUAUAGAACAUAGAGAUAUUUAUUACAUAAAUCAUUGUCAUGUCUUCUAGAAUUAGGAAGUCAUAUAAUUAAGUGAAAUAUACCUAGGCGAUGCUUAAUGUCAAUUUGUAGGGUUCCAUCGUAAUUUCUCAUCAGAUUUCUACAUAUCUAGGGCAUACAUCAUAUUCAUAUCAUCAGAAAACUACUUUUUUCCUUAUCUUUUUUUGCUUUUUUUCUUGUCUUGCCAAAUUUUGUUAUUUUUUAGAGCAGAUUUACUAUCCUCAGUUGUCUGAAACAAAUUUUGGACCGGUCAGUUUUAGAUAGGAGAGAAGAACUCGCACCUAGCCAGCGUCAUGGGUGGAGGCUUAGCGAUUUGGGUGCGGGGUGGGGUGCCAGUGCGAAAAAGAAAGGGGUAUACAGGGAUGGUCAGGGCGGCGAUGGCACAACGAAGGGGGGAGGUUCGGUGAGGCGGCACUACCGUUGAGGGUGUCAAUUAGGUCUAGGUUGGAGGGCGGCGGGCGCCAUGCUAGGUGAGGAAGGAGGUGGGCGGCUGUUGGAUUGAUUUCCAACGGUUGGGUUGAAUCAACUUAGAAUUAGAUAAAAGGAAAUUGUUUUAUAAGUUCUCAUUGAUUACAUCUCAUCGUCGUUUUUUUAGAGUGAGGAUAUCAUGUAAUUAAGCUUUUUUUAUUUUGUGAAAAACAUACUUUGAUUAUCCGUAUUUUAAAUUGUAGGGUUCCAUCGUACAAUUCACACAGAGACCCCUGGUUUGUAGAUACCGCCCUGGACGUUCCAAACCCAGGUUUUCAUUUUUGCAUUUUGCACAUGCAUACUAACUUUUCUAGAUAUACUUCCCCCAAAAGAAAACUUUUCUAGAUAUAUACAGCCUACACGUUUGUUAAUUUGCCAUCUUAGUUGCGGUUCUCGUUAACCACAAGCCAGGCAAAGGGCGCGUGCGAGACACUCAGGUGGCGGCGGGAAGGUGCACCGAAGCUUCCUGCGCCCGAACAAAUCUAUCUCCCCGGCCAACCAACUUUGUCGCGCAGGUAGUUGAGGCUGUGUCUUUUUCCUCUUUUGCCUUUUCAGUGAGGAAGUUCAAGCUUUGGUUUGGAAGCAUGCAGAUAGAUAGACGGCUGCAU